AAAGUUAAUUAAAGUGUACCUACUGUUUGUUUCAACCUGGACUCUAUUUUCCUAUGGUUUAUGUCUAAGUGACUGAUGGGAACAACAAUCUUUAGCAGUGAUGCUACAUGUUAACA